rnacentral:rRNA from 1 species
CGGCGGACGGGUGAGUAACGCGUGGGCAACCUGCCUUCCACUGGGGGAUAACACAGGGAAACCCGUGCUAAUACCGCAUGACAUCACAUAGGGCAUCCUGUGUGAUCAAAGGAGUGAUCCGGUGGAAGAUGGGCCCGCGUCCGAUUAGCUAGUUGGUGAGGUAACGGCUCACCAAGGCGACGAUCGGUAGCCGGACUGAGAGGUUGGCCGGCCACAUUGGGACUGAGACACGGCCCAGACUCCUACGGGAGGCAGCAGUGGGGAAUAUUGCGCAAUGGGGGGAACCCUGACGCAGCGACGCCGCGUGAAGGAAGAAGGCCUUCGGGUUGUAAACUUCUUUGAUGAGGGACGAAGGAAGUGACGGUACCUCAAAAACAAGCCACGGCUAACUACGUGCCAGCAGCCGCGGUAAUACGUAGGUGGCGAGCGUUGUCCGGAAUUACUGGGUGUA